AAUCUGUGAAAAUGCGUGUCACUUCUUCGGGCCGUCUCGGACAGUCGGACACGCAUGGCUGCUUGCAAAUCGCACCUCCUGGGGGAGUACUGGUUAAACGGGUCCAAAUCUCGGACCCGCAAACGGACCUCACCCACCCGUUCCUCCAUCUCCGCCCCUUGCCGGCGAUGGCACCGGCGCCGGCAGCGGCCUCGGCGGGGCGGAAGUCUCAUGUCACCGUUCUCCUCCUCUACGUAGUGUGCGGCUUGAUCCUGCUGCUUCUCCUCGCCUCCUACUCGCCCCGCCUCCAGCCCCACGCCCACGGCCGCAGCCUCCACCGCCGCCUCAAGCUCCACCCAAAGAGCUCCUUACCAUCCGACGCUUCCUCCGGUGGGAACGGGGGGCAACAGAAGACGCAGCACCAAAACCACCAUGCGGCCUCCUUCGACCCGACCAUCGCCGAGCUGGAGCGUCGGCUGGACGACAAGGAGUGGGAGCGCGAGCACUACAGCCUCCUCCACGGCGGCGAGCCGGAUGACCAUAUGAAGGAGUGGGAGGAGUUCCUCAAGGAGGAGGAGGACUUCAUCAACGACGACGACCGAUUCAACAUCGCCGACCGUAUCCGCGCGCUCUUCCCCAAGAUCGACGUCGCCCCGCAGGACGGAUUCGUCUCCCUCGACGAGCUCACCGCCUGGAACCUCCAGCAGGCCAGGGCUGACCAGCACCACCGCUCCGCCAGGGAGAUGGAGCUCUACAACAAGAACGGCGAUGAGAUAGUCUCAUUCGAAGCCUUCAAUGCUCUGCGCCAAGAAUCCCAUGGAGAGGGCAAUAUGCUUGGGUUCGAAUGGUGGAAGGAGGAUCAUUUCAAUGCGUCAGAUGCAAACGCUGAUGGUUUCCUUGAUAAAACUGAGUUCAAUGAUUUCCUUAAUCCAAGUGAUUCGGAUAAUCCCAAAAUCAUCAAUUUGCUCUGCAAACAAGAAAUAAGGUGCAUGCUUUGUCAGCUUUACAUCUAUUUUCUAUCCUACUUUACAUUAAUUUUAGCAGCAUAUGUGUCAUGGAUUUGGAGUGGUUUAAUCUUGGGUUUAGCCUUAAAAGGGUACAUAAACUUUAUACAAAUCAAUUAUUGGCUUCAGAGUCCUGAAUCCUGAAUCCUCGAGCCAUCAAAAUAUAUGUUUGUGAAAUUUGUUUCAGGCUUAACAUUUUCAUGCUGUAGCAGGCAACAGGGUUUAACCACUAGUGAUUAGUGAAACGACUUUUUAGUUAUAUGCCAGGGCAAUACUUAAUAAUUCCAUUGCUCACGAGAGACAAGCAGUAAUAUGCAUCCUAAUAAUCUGAAUUCUAGAUAGGUUCCACCUAACAUUAGCCCAAGUCAAGGACCAAAAAUCAUGAUCAUACACUAAGAUGACUUACAUGUACUUAGGAGUGGUAAUGGAUCACGAUCCAAAUGCCUCUUCACAAAAGUUAAGGCCCUUAAAUAAUAUUAGUUAAAAAAUGAAUAAGAAUAGAGCCCGACCCUAAUCCGAUUCGAUCCUUAAAAUUUGCAGUGUAAAGUUUAUAGCCCAUUACCACCCCUACAUGUACUAAAGAUGGCAUAACCCUUCAAAACUAAGGUGUUGGUUCACUGAUGAGUGGGCCAUGAGGUCAUAGAGACAUCGCUGAAACUGUCUAUCUUUGAUUAUGUUUUAUGAAAUCUGGGGAGCAUUUGUUCUUACCAUUGCAAUCUUUCUUAUCCUGUCGUUUUGACUAUGUCACAUGCAGUCUAAUUAGUAUCCUGUGAGGCAAGUUCAACUACGUGUCUUAUGUUGAAAAUUGCUGUUCACAUGUCUGAACUGUGUGGACAACAGUUUCUGCAUCGGACACAUUGAAAGAAGUUUUUUUUUUGACCCUUUACACUAAACAACCCUGCCCUGCUACUGUUGUGGUUGAAAACCCCUUAUUAAGUUAAAAAUGCAAAAGAAGCUCAGUUGUUGUGCCACAUCAUCAUAUUGUUAAGUUGCUCCCUGAUAGGAUCUAGAUGGCUAGAGGGAGAUGAAUAGCCUAUAAAAGUUUCUCUAAUAAAAACUUAUCAUAAGAAUUAAGAUAAUACUUAUAUGCAGAAGCGUAAUAAGUAAUAGAGAAUACUUCACAAUAUGAUUAUGAAAAUAAUAUGUAAUAGCAGGUGUAAAUCGAAGCGCUAACCACACAGGGUAAGAGGUAGAGACAAUUUUAUCCCCAAGAUUUGGUUGCUUGCUGGCAGCCUACGUCCUCAUGCGGCGAGUCUAACCUUAGAUGAUUCACAUGCAUAUCGAUGCAAUAAGCCAAGGCCCACAUAUGGUACCGUGACAAUCGCUCUAGGAGAGCACUCCAACAAGCCACCAUUUCACUAAAGGGGUGUUUGGUACUUUGGUUUGUAGGGGCUAAUUUUUAGUCCCUCUAUUUUAUUCCAUUUUAGUCUCUAAAUUGCCAAAUACGGAAACUAAAACUCUGUUUGAGUUUCCAUAUUUAGUAAUUUAGAGACUAAAAUAGAAAAAAUGGAGGGACUAAAAAUUAGUCCAUAGAAACCAAACACCCCUUAAGUUAGUCUUCGUGAAUCUACCGUAGGGAUAAUCACAAGAGCCCCUUACAAUUCGUUGAUCAGAGCUGUCAAUAAUCACCAACGCCGCUCAACUAUCCUCUGCUGCACCAAUGUCGCUCAACCAUCCCCUGAUUAGUGGGAUAUGAUCCUGUUUAUCUAUGUGCACCAGGCUCAUUGCCAUAUGCGCCUGUAAUUGUCUCUGCUAACAAUACUAAACCUUCUAUAACUUACAAACUAGACAUCUCUAUAUUGAACCCAUGGAAAUGAACAAACUAGGUUCUCAGGGAUAAAGAUGUUUUGAGGCAUAAAUAAAUCACUUGAAGCAAAAGAAACUAACACACCUGAGUAAAGCAUGUUGCUUUGAUUAAAACACCAAAGAACCUAUUGAAUGAUCCAUCAUGUCUGGAAACUUGGAAGUUAUUGAUUUUUGUGUCACUCUAAUGAGUUUUUAAAGGUGGAUAACUGGAUAUUCUUCCAUCAUUAACUAUUUAUGUGCACUAUAGAUAGGCUAGCGCAGUGGUGAGGAACCUUCCCACUGAGCCAAAGGUCCUAGGUUCAAUGCAGUCUCUCUGCAAAAAUACAAGGGCAGAGGGAUAAAGAUGGUGAUGGAAAGUUAAACUUUGAAGAAUACUUUACUGGGCUACAUGACCAUAUACAUGGUUAUGAUGACGAGAAUGCAGAUAUUUCCCAAAUUGGGAACAUAACAGUUGCGAAGGAUCGGUUUUUCAAACUUGACAAAGAUAAUGAUGGGUUUAUUUCGGAGCAUGAACUAGAGCCUGUUCUUGAUAAGCUCUAUCUUUCUGAACGCUAUUAUUCUAGACAGCAAGCCAUCCAUGCUAUUUCAGAGGCAGACAAAGAUCAUGAUGGGAGGCUGACUUUGGAAGAGAUGGUUGAGAACCCCUAUGCAUUUUAUGGCAGUGUUUAUCUCAGCAGCAGCGACAACGACGACGAAGACUACUUCCACGACGAAUUUCGCUGAGACCAAUAUUGUUACUAUCCUGACACACGCAAGGAACACAGCUGACGAGCAUCAAGGUGCGCACAGAGGUUCGGAACGUCUAGCAUACUAUGUGUGAUGCCCGGGCUGGGCUGCUGACAGAAUGGGAGAGCUUAGAGUUACGGCCAUGGAGUGAGGAACUAGUUUUUAGCCGCUUGGUUCUUCAAGUUGUUUGUGUUAAAUGGAACGACGACAGCAUCCUAGUACCGGCCAGGCCCAGCAGUGAUGGAUGUUACGCGGCAAGUUGAGCCACCUUUAUCUAGGCUGAGCUGCAUUGGUCUCCAUCCUGAUGUUCCUGCAGCAGGGGAAAUGUAGUUCAGGAGAACAAUGAGUGGAGGAGCGUCAUCUCUGUGGCGAGCGGCUUCAGAAAUCUAACGGGAACGUGUUGUUUGGUGUCCGAAAUGUAUGUGUGUGUGUGUAUGCUAUGAAUUCAAUUAUUUCUGGCAGAAUGUCGCAGUCUAGCGAGCUGGCCCAUCCCAUUGAGAAACAUUCCAUCGGCUGCAUGAGUGCGCCAUGGACGGGAGAUGGAUGUGCCGAAUUAUUGGAGGGAAAGGGUUCACUUUAUUCGUGCCUAGUCAUCAGUGUCAUCAGUACGGAGGUUACAGCGUAUCCACGUGGUCUGCCACGUCAUGUGAAUCCCAGCCGUGGCGCAGGUACAUUCUCGCUGGGUCUUGAACUGGUAAUAAAAGAUAUUUGGCUCUCGAUUUAAA